UACGUAGGGUGCAGGCGUUAAUCGGAAUUACUGGGCGUAAAGCGUGCGCAGGCGGUUUGCUAAGUCAGGUGUGAAAUCCCCGGGCUUAACCUGGGAACUGCGCUUGUAACUAGCAGGCUAGAGUGUGGCAGAGGGGGGUGGAAUUCCACGUGUAGCAGUGAAAUGCGUAGAGAUGUGGAGGAACACCGAUGGCGAAGGCAGCCCCCUGGGCUAACACUGACGCUCAUGCACGAAAGCGUGGGGAGCAAACAGG
rnacentral:rRNA from 1 species